rnacentral:lncRNA from 1 species
UUCCAACUCUCAAAACGCCGUUCUUUCAAAUCAAUUGCUAGUAAAUGCCAAUUCCAAUUACUAUGUAAAGGAAUAAGUACACAUCUAGAAGUGCUGCAGGUAUGUGUAUUUAUUUUAUCCAGAAAGUGACGUAUAGAUGCGGAUCCAAAUGCCACAUUCUUUAGAAAAUCAGCUGUUACUGACGUAUCCUUUCCAAAUCCCUGCAUCUUAUUGAGUACAUGCAUCUGCAUAGAAACAGAAAUUAAGAUAGCAAGAUGCCUUACGAAACCUUGCGGGAAACUCAAAUGUUAUUAUUUGGACGGUUCAUAUGUUCACAGAUUAUGGAACAGGAGCUAAUCAAUAUUAUUCAACAAAUUGAGAAUCGGACUU